ACCUAUCCUCACUUAAUUAUGAGUUCUCUCUUUUUGCUUUUGAAUAUUGAAAUAUCUAUAUAAUUGGAGGAGUUAUGUUUUGAUUUGUUUGCAUUUGGGAAAUAUAUUGUUGGUCUCUAUGUUACCAUCUCACACUUCUCGUGUUUAUUCUCAUAAUAAAGGUGUUGUAGUUUUCCUUUAUCAGUUGUUUCAUAUAGAAUGGUGGGUAAUCAUGAAGGUUACAUGAAUUGAAUUGAAUGAUCUCAUUCAUUUUGUGAAUAUGUGAUUGUAUGCUGAUAACUUUGUCCUCACUCUUGUCAAUUUGUCUGUAGUUUCAUGGUACUUGUAGAUAAGCUAAUGUGAUAAAAAAGGAGGAGAUUCAUGUUCUGUUUGGGUGGAGAAAAUAGGAGGCGAUUGAGGAUAUUAAUGGUCAAAUUAGAUUAGAAGUAUUUGUUUGCGAGAUAAAAAUUAGUGCACGAGAUUCCAAAUAUAGCUUUAUCAUUAUGAUGUUUUAAACAUAUUAGGGAUUUGGUGAAAAAUUAUGAAGUUUGAAAUCCAAUGAAGAUACACUCCUUUGCAUGUACAAGCCCCAGGAUGGCCUGUAAAUAAUGUUGUGUAAUGUUCAAAUUAAUCAAUAUUACAUAUAGUGCUAACGUGUUGUGGUCCUUUUUAAUUUCGUGAAAAUUGAUCUAAAUGUUUCUCUUUCGCCAAUUGUUGCCGUGACAAAAUCAUGAGCAGUAAUGAGAGCAGCACCAUAACACCUAAUAUCAAUGAUAGUAAGCAUUGCCUAGUAAUUGAUAAUGAUGUCUUACCAUUGGCCAUAUGCGAGCUGGUGGAGCAAAGAAGAAAAUCAUGAUGCAGAGGCAUGCCUGCUGUCAUAGCUUUAUAAUAUUCUCAAGUCUUUGUAUUCAGAGGCGGUUGAAAAAUGAUUGGAAUUAUGGGCUCUACUCAAUUUGUAGGGCUAACAGAGAUAAGAACACCAUUUUGUUGAAUGUGGAGACUUACAAAGAUACAGAUUGCCGAAGAGCAACAAACUUCUGCACUAAAUUUCGAAGAAAGUGAUCCAUAGAAAUUUCUAGCAUAUGGAGUUAGUCUGAUAGUCAGUUGCUUUCCAACAAAGUUGGCGAGUAGGGAUGCUGAUAAAUCGAGUUGGCACUAUGCAUCUAUUGAAGUUCCCUUCCUUUUUCUUUUUCCGAUUGUGGAUGUAUGUGGUAAAUAAGACACUAUCUGUGAAUGCCAUUCCUAUGAUCUUUGUUUUAAGCGUACUUUUUGUAUAAGAUAUUGGCGCGAAGAUGUUGAUUAAUUGAUUCUGUGCUGUGAAAGAGACUGCUGGUUCCAAAUA